rnacentral:rRNA from 1 species
CCGCAUAGCCGUGUGGAAGUAAAAGGAGAGGCACGGGGGGUUAGGGUGGGUCACGCCGCGGCCGGGACUUCAUAGAGGGACGGGAUCGGUGUCGACGGCGGCGCGGCAGCAUCGAAUCGAGGUGACGGCUGCUUCGGAGGCGGGGGGUUCGUCGUGUGGGGGGCGGAGAGGGCGCGCAGCGGCGGCGUCGGCGGCGAGGGCAGGGCGGAGCAGCGCAGGGACGACGGGGUUGAGGCGGGCGCUAAAGCUCGUAACCAAGGACUCCAUACUGGUAGGGCAGGAGGUCGCCUCGCUACCCUUUCUUCCACUUCCGGUUCGGCUUCUUCCGCGUCGUCGCCCUCGGCGACCGGCUGCGACCUAGGCCGCUGCUCCGGAGCGUCCUGCAGCUCCUUCGCCGACGCAGCCGGCCGCUAACCCUCGUCACGCCGGUGAUGUCGGCACUGCCAGCGGUGAACCUGUUCCAGGAUGCCCUCUAGCACAGACGGUUCGUAGAGCGCAGCACACUCGUGACGGCCCUCCUCCGGGGGGCCUUCUUUCCGCCGCCCCCACCGUUCCUCUUUCCGCCAUUCGUCGUCUUCUUCUUUCCGCGACGACGGUUCUGCGUCCGGUUCCGCCUCUUCUUGCUACUAAAUACCCAGACGAACCUGACGCCGGCCGUGAAGACGCCGCCACGGCACAGUCUAUGCUUCGGUAUGCCGGUACGGUCUUCCGUACGGUUCGUCCUGGCUGUGACCACCCGACGUGCCAUACUAUUUGGUUGACAGCGCAUAACGAACAGUACGCUUGUACUCCACAGGUAGCUCAACGGACAUCAUCUCUGUCAACAUCGUCGCGGUCGGCAGCUCUUCCACCAAGAACCACGUCACCUAUCGUUACGUAACCAAAACCGAUUAUCGGUACCAUUACACUAAUUUCCCGACGGUUUAGAACCUUUAUGUACAAAGAAGUUACGUCACGACGUCUCGGAGGAUCGCGAACUAUUCAAGGCGUCGUUCUACGAUCCUGGUCUACAAGGUUGUCCUCGGUAACGAUACAGUGACUUCUUCGAGAAACACCUUUGUUCACGAAGCUUACUACGUCCUCCACGUGACUCGGGUUUCUCGGAAAAGAGUUCGUAAACGAGUUUUAUGGGAGUCAAGUUUCCGAUGGUCUACGUCCUGUCGGUACUUAACGAGGCGACAAAAGAACUACCAAAUCCGUGCCUCCUUUGACUUCGCGCCUUCCGUCGCCUCCUACGAAGGUCGCGACGACCCCAAGGAUGUUAACAACUGAGGUAGAAACCCCCAGUCGACAGAUCAUGACACAGGUCGUGUCUUACGUGUGUGCCUAGACAAUUCGUACUGGUUAAGGAACUAGAGAGUGAUGGUCAAGGUAGUUCCUUUGGAGGUCGGUUCUCACAAAGUAGUGGUGGUCGUUUCUCCUGGUUCGUCAGGUAUGCUCUAUCCUUGUUUUUAGCGUCUAUACCUUUCCAACGAUGGGCUCACAGAGGACGUUAUCGCCUCUCGUCGUUUCUUGUUCAUGUUUGUCAACGACUUCCGUUACUAAGGGUCUAAGGUCCAAGUCUUAACCCUGUCCAACAGUCACUCUUUCUUGUACUCGGGAGACUCACGUCACUCAGUACACGAAGACAAGGGUUGGUUCUUGACUUCCGGCGAAGUUUACACCUCCGACUGUAAAGGACCAAUCUAAUAGAACGACUACGUCUACUUUGUUUCAGACUCUAAGAACUAAGGCGUACAAGCUGGCCUCGUCCUGUCUAGACCUUGUCGUUGCUACGGCGGUAUGUACCAAGUAAAGUGUCACCUCUACUACGGAACGGGUUUCUCGUCCGGAACUAAAGACUCGUGAGUCCACUCUUGUAACAACUACUACGUUGAACAAAUGUCUGACACUAGAACGAAGGAAUGUUUCUUAAACUGUGGUGACGACUUCUUUAUAUACUUUGACGUCUUUCGAGUGUCUUAGGUUAUCAAAAACCAGGAGUAGGUCGACUAAUAGAUCGUCGUCUUUUAGUGCGUGUCGGCAAUAUACCGCCUCUACCACUCGUUCUACUGACAAAACCAUAGCCACUAUACAAACCACUCGGACUUCAUUGAAGACUACGAUUCUUUCUUUGACCUUGUUGACCUCUAUAACUACACUACCGAACCUCAUCGUUAUCACGACUACUACUUCACCUACUAUCAUUACGAGGGCAUAGUCAGCUCCCGACGAACAGUAACAUAUGACUCGGUCUCGACGAUAGCCUUAGAACCGUAACACUCUUAACAAGGUAGGGACAACGUGUCGGUUUGUGGUUACUUAAUUUUCUCCCACUCCUCUGCCGUCGAUCACGGUUACUGUCUUUCCUGUCACGCCUCUACUACCGUUCACCACUACUUUUUGUUCUACUACUAUUCCAGGGCUCGACGUCGUUUUUCCUCCUGUAACUAGUCUAAUACCGUUGACUACCAACGAGACAGUUACAUUUAGGACUGUACACGACAUUGCUUCCACACACACGUUUAGGAGGAAACCAACUACGACUUUUGUGGAGACUACCAUUAAGAGGUCUGUAACUGUGAUGACUUGUCGGUCUGUCAUUUUGUAUGGUGGUCCUCACAUCCUUAAACUUGUCGAGUCGUCACCUUAAAUGUAGAAGGUCAUUCGUCGGCGUACUGAAACGCGCCGUAUUGCUACCAGUAUUACACCUACAUCGGCGACUUCUUUGUUCACGCGGUCACUCAACACCACUAUUACUGGGACGGAGAACGUCAUGAUGAUCGCUGUUUUUCCAACUUAGACCACCACGGUUACGACUUCUUCAACACUGAUCAUCGGAAGGUGGACUCUGCGUUUCGUAGAAUGGCUCGCGGUUUCUAUUACUUCUACCGAAGUGUUCCUUAUGGCCUUCCUCCUUCUCUUACUUCUACCAACAGUUCCAUGUGUUUCCUGUUCUAUUGGUUUUAUUUGUCUUUCUCCUACUUUGUUUCCAAAAGUCUCGACGUUACUCUUCUUAAGAAUAGUCGUUCCGUGGUGGACAUAACUGCUAAUGAAACUUGUCUAAGUCGGUGCUGAGAGUACCAGCCAAGUCCUUUGACUUUCCCGUACACGCGAAAUUCCUCUGUGAACUAUAUGCUGGCAUGUACCUGGGUUCUAGCUUCCUAUUACUGUAGUGGUGAAUAGCCGACCAUCGACAGCAGCUCGUGUACCCUUCGUACUGUCCUCCCGUAAUACAGCGUAUACAUUCUAGACCGUUCUAUCCCCCAGCCGUCGUCGUCUCGGCGAGGAGGUUCAGAACCAAAAUGCGCUCGCUAAGUGUGCAGUCUCUUUGGAGAGACCUCCUCCAAGAGUUGACGCUCCGAAUGUAGGAAAAGAUGCUCUCCCAUCGGCUCAUUCUGUUAUAUACAGACCACUGGAUGAGUACCUAGUCACUCAUCAAUCCCUGUUCUACUUACAGCUCGUUCUCCACUGUUUGUUGUAAAAAACCCUAUGACGAUACUGACAGAGUCAACCCCUCUCAAGAAAAAAUGUUCACCUGAACCUGUCGGUUAGCCAAGUACGACGAAUGUCACCCAGUAAGAAACCCAAAAGGAAAAGACCUCUCGUGUCCACCUGCCCACCUUUAACAGACUUUAGCCGUUUGCCAAGCAAGUCUAGAGAUGUUCCAGUAGCAACUCGCAGGAGCCAACAUAACCAAAUCUCACUUAGUCAGUCAGUAUCUGUCGGACCAUGUACAAAAACUAUAUACACUCACGCGGGGAUUUAAAACGCACUACCCCCGCAUAUAUAUGUUAUAUAACAUUGUACAUCGAGGUAGAACUCCAUCUUUACUGUACAAUAAAUAAUGGUACAUAAUGAUCUAACAUGGUACGGUGCUUUUAGUUUGGACCUUCAAAGUUCUC